GACUCUCGACAACGUAUAUCUCGGCUCUUACAUCGAUGAAGAACAUAGCAAAAUUCGAUACUUGGUGUGAAUUACAGAAUCUCAUGAACCAUCGAGUUUUUGAACGCAAGUUGCUCCCUAGGCCAUUAGGCUGAGGGCACGCCUGUCUGGGCGUCA